rnacentral:rRNA from 1 species
ACGGGCCGCUAUUGCCUUAUCUCAUGCAGUCGAACGGUCUCUUCGGAGAUAGUGGCGGACGGGUGAGUAACGCGUGAGAAUCUGGCUUCAGGUCGGGGAUAACUACUGGAAACGGUGGCUAAUACCGGAUGUGCCGAAAGGUGAAAGAUUUAUUGCCUGAAGAUGAGCUCGCGUCUGAUUAGCUAGUUGGUGUGGUAAGAGCGCACCAAGGCGACGAUCAGUAGCUGGUCUGAGAGGAUGAUCAGCCACACUGGGACUGAGACACGGCCCAGACUCCUACGGGAGGCAGCAGUGGGGAAUUUUCCGCAAUGGGCGAAAGCCUGACGGAGCAAUACCGCGUGAGGGAGGAAGGCUCUUGGGUUGUAAACCUCUUUUCUCAAGGAAUAAAAAAAUGAAGGUACUUGAGGAAUCAGCAUCGGCUAACUCCGUGCCAGCAGCCGCGGUAAUACGGAGGAUGCAAGCGUUAUCCGGAAUGAUUGGGCGUAAAGCGUCCGCAGGUGGCUGUGUAAGUCUGCUGUUAAAGAGCAAAGCUUAACUUUGUAAAAGCAGUGGAAACUACACGGCUAGAGUGCGUUCGGGGCAGAGGGAAUUCCUGGUGUAGCGGUGAAAUGCGUAGAAAAAGGCCCCAC